rnacentral:rRNA from 3 species
UGUCGUAAGGGAAAAUAAUGAUAAUACCUUACUAUGAGUGUCGUCCAAAUCUGGUGCCAGAAGACUCGGUAAGACCAGAGACGCAAACGUUAAUCAUCAUAAACAGGCGUAAAGGGUUUGUAGGCAGCUUUCACCAAACUAUGAUUACAAAAUAAAGUAGUUUAAUUGAAAGCUAGAAUCAAAAAGAGGUUAUAGUGUAUAACGCCUAGAGGAGGGCUGAUAUCCAUAGAUCCUAGGCAGAAUACUCAGGGCGAAGGCCACUCUCCACUACUGAUUGACGCUGAGAAACGAAGGUUAGGGUAGGAAAUAGGAUUAGAUACCCCGGUACUCCUUUCUGUAAACGAUGAAUGGUAGUCAUUAGUUUUAUAACUAGAGACGAAGUUAACACAAUAACCAUUCCGCCUUGUGAGUACUACUGCAAAGUAGAAAACAAAAAAAUUAGUCGGUCUCGAAGCAAACGGAGUGAAGCA